CGGGGUGUAGCUCAGUUUGGUAGAGCGCUUGAAUGGGGUUCAAGAGGCCGCAAGUUCGAUUCUUGUCACUCCGA
rnacentral:tRNA from 1 species